CGAAGCGGACGCAGGUGAGCUAAGCGCGAGGCUGAAGGACGAAAGGGCUCAAAUGCAGAAGGCGGGCGGAACCAGCGAGGCGGGCUUCCGUUUUUAUAGGAAAGGCGCGGGGGAAGCCAAAUCGAUGCCCCUGCCGCCAUAAAUGCGGCGCCAGGUAUGCCCCUGCCACGCCCACUUCCUUUUCGGAAACUGCGCGCGCGAUCGGCCGCGAAAACAUCCAAUCCUCCUCGAUCCGCGGGACGACGCUCCCCAUAACUCCGUCUCCCGAAAGGCACGCCCACGACGUCCCCCACAUUCGGCCCAAACGCAACGACCGCUCCAUUCCAGCCUAAGGCCCACCGAAAGGUAAGAAAGGGAUACGGGGCUGAAAAACGUCCCUACGGCCCAUUACGGUCCAGAGGUUCGAAGGCUGGCCCACCACGGGUUCGACAGCUGCCUCAGGACACCCCCCGAGCGAGGGGUGAGAAGGGACGGGUCCGCUAGCGGCCAACACCCAGGCGAGCGAAAGCCAAGGGCGUCCCAACCUCACGUUCGAGUUCUGACCGGCAUAAAGUUCAUGGUUUUUUCCACAGGGAAAGGCAACGAGCCCCCGGAUCCGGCCGAACGAACCCGGGGAACUAUAUGAACUGGCCGGCGGGAGAUUGGAGUACGCCACCAGCUUGGCCCGAGCCAGACCCCCCCGAACGAGGACCGGGACUCCACUCGAACCUAACUGUUCACAGCUCAAACGAGCACCACGGUUCGUCCAACGAGGAUAACAUGGCACGGCUCAACCCCUCCAUCCUAGCGAACGGACACUUGAGGGGCAACGAUCAAAAGUCGACCUGGCCUCCCGACCGGUCUCCUGCAACGCGCGGGGGCUCGGGGGCUAGCAUCGCAACCAACGACCCCGCGUGUGGUCGCGAUUCGCAGGUUCCCCGGCCAAGCUGGGCUAAAACAAACGCAC
rnacentral:lncRNA from 1 species